GAUGAACGCUAGCGGCAGGCUUAAUACAUGCAAGUCGAGGGGCAACAGGGGUAGCAAUACCUGCUGGCGACCGGCAAACGGGUGCGGAACACGUACAGAACCUUCCUUUAAGCGGGGGAUAGCCCAUAGAAAUGUGGAUUAAUACCCCAUAGUAAUAAUGACUGGCAUCAGUUGUUAUUUAAAGAUUUAUCACUUAAAGAUGGCUGUGCGGCUAAUUAGGUAGUUGGUCGGGGUAACGGCCCACCAAGCCAUCGAUCAGUAACUGGUGUGAGAGCACGACCAGUCACACGGGCACUGAGACACGGGCCCGACUCCUACGGGAGGCAGCAGUAAGGAAUAUUGGUCAAUGGACGCAAGUCUGAACCAGCCAUGCCGCGU
rnacentral:rRNA from 1 species